ACGUAUGGUGCAAGCGUUAUCCGGAUUUACUGGGUGUAAAGGGAGCGCAGGCGGUGUGGCAAGUCUGAUGUGAAAGCCCGGGGCUCAACCCCGGUACUGCAUUGGAAACUGUCGUACUAGAGUGUCGGAGGGGUAAGCGGAAUUCCUAGUGUAGCGGUGAAAUGCGUAGAUAUUAGGAGGAACACCAGUGGCGAAGGCGGCUUACUGGACGAUAACUGACGCUGAGGCUCGAAAGCGUGGGGAGCAAACAG
rnacentral:rRNA from 1 species